GUUGUUUCUCUGAAAAUCAAUUACAGGAAAGUUUAUGUUAAGUUGUUAAGACUUUAUCAGCUUACUGCUUAAUUUUAGGCUUUUCUUUAAUGCACUUUUCAGUUUACAAGUCAACAUCAAUUUCUUUUGUUGUAAAAAGGUAAGGGAAAGGUGGCUCAAGCUUCGGCUUAAGUGUUUAUAGUCCUUUGCUUCUGCAAUCGGAGAGAUUGAGGUCUGCAGCGUAGAUCCUUCUGGAUUAGAUACAUUUGUGCUAAGUUACAGCUCUUUAUAGACAACUUGUUGACUAUGAUCAGUCUUGUAGCUUACUCGCUUAUGCUAUUUUACCUAC
rnacentral:rRNA from 1 species